UACGUAGGGACCAAGCGUUGUUCGGAUUUACUGGGCGUAAAGGGCGCGUAGGCGGCAAUUCAAGUCAUCUGUGAAAUCUCCGGGCUUAACUCGGAACGGUCAGAUGAUACUGCUUUGCUAGAGUACAGAAGGGGCAAUCGGAAUUCUUGGUGUAGCGGUGAAAUGCGUAGAUAUCAAGAGGAACACCUGAGGUGAAGACGGGUUGCUGGGCUGAUACUGACGCUGAGGCGCGAAAGCUAGGGUAGCAAACGGGAUAGAUAC
rnacentral:rRNA from 1 species